ACGGGAGGCAGCAGUGGGGAAUAUUGGGCAAUGGGCGAAAGCCUGACCCAGCAAUGCCGCGUGAAGGAAGAAGGUCUUCGGAUCGUAAACUUCUUUUAUGAGGGACGAAGGAUUUGACGGUACCUCAUGAAUAAGCCACGGCUAACUACGUGCCAGCAGCCGCGGUAAUACGUAGGUGGCAAGCGUUAUCCGGAUUUACUGGGUGUAAAGGGCGCGUAGGCGGGGAAGCAAGUCAGAUGUGAAAUCCAUGGGCUCAACUCAUGAACUGCAUUUGAAACUGUUUCUCUUGAGUGCUGGAGAGGUAGAUGGAAUUCCUAGUGUAGCGGUGAAAUGCGUAGAUAUUAGGAAGAACACCAGUGGCGAAGGCGAUCUACUGGACAGUAACUGACGCUGAGGCGCGAAAGCGUGGGGAGCAAACAGGAUUAGAUACCCUGGUA
rnacentral:rRNA from 1 species